AUGUCGACCCACAACUCCCAACCACCCAUCGAACUCAUUCACUACCCCGAGAGAAAUCAAUCUCUCUGGCCUGAGCCAUCCUCAUCUCCAGCGCCGGCGUCGACGCCAUGUCUGCUUCCUCGUCGAACUCGCUCCCCAUCCCACCCGACUGGCUUCUGCCGCUCUUGCAGUGUCCACUGUGUGACGACGAGAUCGAGUCCAAUGUUGCGAGGUCAGGCACUCAGGCUAGUAAUCGUUUCUACAAGUGCACCCGCUAUGAUGCUCGUCAGUGCCGUUUUUUUGAGUUCCAGCGUGCUUAUUGGAGGAGGAUGA
rnacentral:rRNA from 1 species